rnacentral:lncRNA from 1 species
CACGCGCUUUUAAGAAGCGGGCAGCCAGGGCAGCUGCAGAGAGGGGGAAGGGAGACUAGGGGAAGACAGGUCACAGGGACAGCGUCUGGUGGAAAGUUAACCCUGGACGAGCACGCCCUACCUGGAGUAACAGGUUUGGAAUGGGUUGUGGCAACCAAGGAGAACGGUGGGCGACCAAGUUGGGGUUGGGAGGGCCCCUACCGGGGAAAAAUUUGAAGUCUUCCCUUUAAAAGGGAGAGACUAAAGGACAACUGGGAGUUGACACUAUAGCGUGCCAGAUAGGAGACCCCACUAGAGAGAAAGCGGCUAUAGUAGUUGUUGCUGCAGACGACCCAACCACCGCCUGCAAGAAGAGAAAAAACGCCCCCGCUGGAGAAUUGAGGCAUCUGUCGGCUGCUCCAGAGCACAGGGACCGAGGCCUCCCACGGGUGUAACUGGAGGCCGCACGUGGGGGCUCCGCUGACUUUAUUAGGUCGGUGGAGACACACCCGACCACUUGGAGGCGUGCGCUCCGGGGCUGCAGCUCUAGGUCUCGGUGUAGGCACCAGGCGGGUGACCCGAGAGGAUGCGACUCCCGGUGCGUGAGACUGAGAAACUCCCCCGCUGUGGGGAAGGAUUUUUCCAGCAGAUGUUGGAACGGUACUGUGCGUCUAUGAGGCAGGCGGAAUGGGGCGUUGGAGGGUCCUGGGGCUUGCAGGGUUGUGUGGCACCAGCACAGGCUGGACAGUGAGAUGUGUCGAAUGCAGCAGAUUCUCGCAGUCCAGAGAAGGAGACCCACAAGAUAACUGAAGACAGCUACUGGACAGGGGCGGGAACCAGUUGGAUUAAAGCAUUGGGGAAGUGUGGUGAGGCUUUGAAGAAAGGUGAUCAUCCCAGGGGACUGUGCCCUCAGGGAAAACCAGGCCUAUUGAAUUAGGUAAUAGGCAACCCGCCUGUUUGGACCUGGGCGCCUCUGUGUCUGACCUGAGACUUGAAAGCGCCUAACUUUCUGGGGACCUUGAGUUUGCUCCUCCAUCAGGGUUCAAAUGAUUUCCACAGCUUUUUGGUAAAGAGGAGUGGUCUUCCUGCACCGGUUCAGCUUUGAUGGAGCAGACACUUUAGUUUCUCUGAUAGGCGAGGAGCGACAGAAUUCCACUGGCAGGACAGUGGUGGAACAGCCAGAGAAGAGAGAACAGUGGUGAAAGAAAAGUGAAGGGCACUGACAUGGAACCUGAUAUCUGGACCCAUGCUCAAAAGAAUUCCAACCUUUGAUCAAUGUCUAUGCCAGAGACUUCAAAUCUUUUGAAGAUAGGUACCACUAUUUUAUGCCAAACAAACAUUAGGUACUCAAUAAGUGUUGAAUUAAGAUUACAUGUGGAUGGCUGCAAUGCAGAGGGAGGGGGGAAAAUACUUUCCUCUGCAGCUCUGAUAUAUGGACAUUUUGUUCUUUCUUUCAUAGAAAGACUCAGACGGUACACUGCCAGUGGACAAGGAGGCUCAGGUGUGCCCUGUGAAAGAGAACUCCACAUAGUACCAAUGGAUAUAAGGGCAAUUACAAAGAAAUUAUCCACUUUGUAUUAUACUAACCAGACCAGACUGCAGAUUUUCUUUAUUUUGCAUUUAGUUUGUGAAUACUUACUUGUAAACUGAUUAGAUUAUAAGAACCUGAACUCCCUACCUUGGUGGGUAGAUAAGUUCAUUCUAAUUUAAAAAGCUAAAAGUCACAUAUUCUAACAUCUCAAUUGAUAUUUAAGGAAACCCAUUUAGGACAAAAUCACUGAUAGUUCAUCCAGCAUGGAAUCCUUUCACUGACUAGGAACAAUGCCUUAUUGCUUCUCUCCUCCAUUUUUUUUUUUUGGGGGGGGGGGCGGUGGGC